rnacentral:sRNA from 1 species
UCGAGCGUCAGCGAGAGAGCGUUGCCGCAGGCAACGACCCGUAGGGCGAAGCGCGCAGCGCUGAGUAAUCCUUCCCCCACCACCA